CUCCCCAAUACACAAUCCUUCCAAAUAUAUACACACACAUAGCACUCUCACACACACACACACACAGCACUAUCACACACACAGCACCCUCACACACACAACACUCUCACACACAGCACCCUUACAUACAGCACUCUCACACACACAGCACCCUCACACACACACACACACAACACUCUCACACAUACAGCAUUCUCACACACACCACGCUGACUCUCACACACUGCACCCUUAUCACACACACUGCACCCCUCACACUCACAGCAUCUCUCACACACACUGUACCCCUCACACACACUGCACCCCUCACAUGCUCACCUUACCCCUCGCACACACACUGCACCCUUCACACAUACACACAGAACCCCACAAACACACUGCGCAUCACACAAACACACAAAAUAUAUGUAUACUACAGCACCCCACACACACUGCACCCCUCACACACAUACUGCAGCCCUAAAGACAUUACACACACACUAGAUCCCUUAUCCAACUCUGGAUGGUCUACACACAUACACACAUUUGAUUCCUAUGUACACUCUGAAUCCUCUAUAUACACACACUCACUAGAUCUCCUAUACACAUUAUGGGUCCUUCAAACACACACUAGACCCCUUGACACACACUGCACCACCUACAAACACUACAUUCCUGACAUACACACUCUGGAUCCCCUAUGCAAACACUUGAUUCCUUGUAAGCAAACACAUACAACAUUCCCUAAACACACACUCUCUACAAUCCCUACACACACUACAUCACGUAUACACACACACUACAGCCUGUAUGCACACACUUGCUACAUCCCCUGUAUACACUAUGUCCCCUAUAUGCACACUCUUUACCACACAUGCAUUACAUUAUAGCCACACAUGCAUUACAUUACACCACAAACGCAACACGACUGAAAACCUAUUUACACAAUACCACACCACAAUCAGCUCACUCUACACACACGCAAUCACACAAGCAGACUCAAAACACAUGCACAAUAUUUUUUCCUGGCCCUUUUGUCUCCUGGUAUCCCAUUUAUAGACACACCGCUGUGAUUAAAAAAUGCCCAAGACAAUUUUUUUCCCAUCCCCUCAAGCUUGUGUUGGUGUUACUUUCCACUCAUGUCUUACCUUUUCUCCUCAGUCUGCCUCCUAAUCCUGUAGCUUUCACCUUAAAAAUAUUGCUCAAAUUUGUUCUUUUCUAACUCAAUAUAUAACUAAGGCACUUGUUCAUG